UCCCCGGUAGCUCAGAUGGCAGAGCGGGUGGCUGUUAACCACCGUCCGUCCCAGGUUCGAGCCCUGGUCGGGGAG
rnacentral:tRNA from 1 species